UCCCUGGUGGCUCAGAUGGUAAAGCGUCUGCCUGCAAUGCGGGAGACCCGGGUUCAAUCCCUGGGUUGGGAA
rfam:TPA: Bos taurus chromosome 28, whole genome shotgun sequence.